rnacentral:rRNA from 1 species
AACGAACGCUGGCGGCAGGCCUAACACAUGCAAGUCGAGCGAUGACUUCGGUCCUAGCGGCGGACGGGUGAGUAACGCGUGGGAACGUGCCCUUUGGUUCGGAAUAGCCCUGGGAAACUGGGAGUAAUACCGGAUAAGCCCUACGGGGGAAAGAUUUAUUGCCGAAGGAUCGGCCCGCGUUGGAUUAGGUAGUUGGUGGGGCAAUGGCCUACCAAGCCGACGAUCCAUAGCUGGUUUGAGAGGAUGAUCAGCCACACUGGGACUGAGACACGGCCCAGACUCCUACGGGAGGCAGCAGUGGGGAAUCCUAGACAAUGGGGGAAACCCUGAUCUAGCCAUGCCGCGUGAGCGAUGAAGGCCUUAGGGUUGUAAAGCUCUUUCAGUGGGGAAGAUAAUGACGGUACCCACAGAAGAAGCCCCGGCUAACUCCGUGCCAGCCGCCGCGGUAAGAC